rnacentral:rRNA from 11 species
ACCUGGGCAUUGUCUACCCUGAAGGCACCAGAUUGUGUCUACUUUUGGAAGCUGAACAGGGUCAGUUCUGGUUAGUACUUUAAUGGGAAGCAGCCAGGAAAACUAGAUGUUAUAGGCU